AUCUGACCUUUGGGUCGAGUUGUAAUUUGCAGAGGGUGUUUCGGGCACGGUGCCGGUUUAAGUCCUUUGGAACAGGGUGUCAUAGAGGGUGAGAACCCCGUAUGUGACCGGUCGCCAAACCCAUGUGAAACCCCUUCGACGAGUCGAGUUGUUUGGGAAUGCAGCUCAAAAUGGGUGGUAAAUUUCAUCUAAAGCUAAAUAUUGGCCAGAGACCGAUAGCGCACAAGUAGAGUGAUCGAAAGAUGAAAAGCACUUUGGAAAGAGAGUCAAACAGCACGUGAAAUUGUUGAAAGGGAAGCGCUUGCGACCAGACUUGCUCGCGGGUGAUCAGCGGUGCUUUUCGCGCCGUGCACUCAUCCGCGAUCAGGCCAGCAUCGGUUCAGGCGGCCGGACAAAGACUCGGAGAAUGUAGCUCCCUCCGGGGAGUGUUAUAUCUCCUUGUGCAAUACGACCAGCCGGGACCGAGGACCGCGCUUCGGCUAGGAUGCUGGCGUAAUGGUCGUAAGCGACCCGUCUUGAAACACGGACCAAGGAGUCUAACAUCUGUGCGAGUGUUUGGGCGUUAAACCCAUGCGCGCAAUGAAAGUGAACGUGAGGUGGGAACCCUUUCGGGGGCGCACCAUCGACCGAUCCAGAUGUCUUCGGAUGGAUUUGAGUAAGAGCACAGCUGUUGGGACCCGAAAGAUGGUGAACUAUGCCUGAAUAGGGUGAAGCCAGAGGAAACUCUGGUGGAGGCUCGCAGCGGUUCUGACGUGCAAAUCGAUCGUCAAAUUUGGGUAUAGGGGCGAAAGACUAAUCGA
rnacentral:rRNA from 1 species